rnacentral:rRNA from 1 species
UAAACAAGUUAAUAAACUAAAACUUUCAACAACGGAUCUCUUGGUUCUGGCAUCGAUGAAGAACGCAGCGAAAUGCGAUAAGUAAUGUGAAUUGCAGAAUUCAGUGAAUCAUCGAAUCUUUGAACGCACAUUGCGCCCCUUGGUAUUCCGGGGGGCAUG